AAAACUUAAGGUGCCCAUUCUGGCAACUGGCAGAAAAUCUAGUUUGCCCUAACUUUACCAGCAAACCAAACACUCAACGCUGCCUGAACUGAAGCCAACACUUGGUAGUUCAACUGCAUCAGUUUCUCUACCGAAAAGGACUCUGAUACCCCGUGACUUGACGAAAUGAUUCAGCAAGUCUCAUUGUUUUCAAAAGUGGUCAUGUAGAUUUUUUUCCUUUUUUGUUUUUUGAGAAAAAAAAGCAAUUGUGCUCAUAUGAAAAAUAAUUUGAUCGCGAUAGUCAAAUGACAUAAUUGUUAUUUUACCAAACUAUAAAAAUAAAAGCUUGUUCUUUCUUC
rnacentral:lncRNA from 1 species